UAUUUGCACAAGGCCUUCAAAAAUUGCUCCUUGGGGGCUUGUAAAUGAGCAGUGUUCUGAAGAUAACAGGCAAAUGGGAUUUUCAUUGUCCACGAAAUUACACUUAAAUGAUAAGUAAAGACAUUUGCAAAGGGCAGAUAAUUUAAAAGUCUAUUAGAGCAAAGAAAUCAUAAGAAUUCAAUAAAAGAAGAUAGGAUUAAUUUUUUACUUCUACAAGUAAAAAAAUCUGAAUGUCUAAGGGACAUAACUCAGUCAAUAUUUUUUUUACCUAUACAAGUAAAUAAAAUUCACUUGUAUAAGUAUCCUACAAAUUUACUUAUAUAAGUAUAUUAAUAUUACUUCUUCAAGUAAUUAAAAA
rnacentral:lncRNA from 1 species